UACAGAGGUCUCAAGCGUUGUUCGGAUUCAUUGGGCGUAAAGGGUGUGUAGGUGGCGCCGUAAGUCGGGUGUGAAAUUUCGGAGCUUAACUCCGAAACUGCAUUCGAUACUGCGGUGCUUGAGGACUGGAGAGGAGACUGGAAUUCAUGGUGUAGCAGUGAAAAUGCGUAGAGAUCAUGAGGAAGACCAGUGGCGAAGGCGGGUCUCUGGACAGUUCCUGACACUGAGACACGAAGGCCAGGGGAGCAAACGGG
rnacentral:rRNA from 1 species